GGGGUUGUGGCUCAGUGGUAGAGCACUCGUCUAGCAAGUGUGAGGCCCUGGGUUUGACCCUCAGUACCA
rfam:Ictidomys tridecemlineatus contig108986, whole genome shotgun sequence.